GACGAAGGUGGCAAGCGUUGCUCGGAAUCACUGGGCAUAAAGCGCGCGUAGGCGGCUUGGCAAGUCGGGGGUGAAAGCCCGCAGCUCAACUGCGGAACUGCCUUCGAUACUGCCGGGCUUGAGGGCGGGAGGGGUGAUUGGAACUCCAGGUGUAGCGGUGAAAUGCGUAGAUAUCUGGAGGAACACCGGAGGCGAAGGCGAAUCACUGGACCGCUUCUGACGCUGAGGCGCGAAAGCUAGGGGAGCAAACAGG
rnacentral:rRNA from 1 species